UACGUAGGGUGCAAGCGUUAAUCGGAAUUACUGGGCGUAAAGCGUGCGCAGGCGGUGAUGUAAGACAGUUGUGAAAUCCCCGGGCUCAACCUGGGAACUGCAUCUGUGACUGCAUCGCUGGAGUGCGGCAGAGGGGGAUGGAAUUCCGCGUGUAGCAGUGAAAUGCGUAGAUAUCUGGAGGAACACCGGUGGCGAAGGCGGCAUCCUGGACCAUUACUGACACUGAAAAGCGAAAGCCAGGGGAGCAAACGGG
rnacentral:rRNA from 1 species